rnacentral:rRNA from 1 species
AUUGAACGCUGGCGGUAUGCUUAACACAUGCAAGUCGAACGGUAACAGGCCUUCGGGCGCUGACGAGUGGCGGACGGGUGAGUAACGCGUAGGAAUCUGCCUCAUAGUGGGGGACAACGUGGGGAAACUCACGCUAAUACCGCAUACGCACUACGGGGGAAAGCGGGGGAUCUUCGGACCUCGCGCUAUGAGCUGAGCCUGCGUUAGAUUAGCUAGUUGGUAGGGUAAAGGCCUACCAAGGCGACGAUCUAUAGCUGGUCUGAGAGGACGAUCAGCCACACUGGGACUGAGACACGGCCCAGACUCCUACGGGAGGCAGCAGUGGGGAAUAUUGGACAAUGGGCGCAAGCCUGAUCCAGCAAUACCGCGUGUGUGAAGAAGGCCCUAGGGUUGUAAAGCACUUUCAAUUGGGAGGAAAACCUGCCGGUCAAUACCCGGCAGCUUGACAUUACCUUUAGAAGAAGCACCGGCUAACUCCGUGCCAGCCGCCGCCGUAACAC